CAUGCUAAUGGGACCUGCUCUCUUCCCUAGGGUGGUGAAGUUCCGUCGCACAGGCGAGAGCGCGAGGUCAGAGGACGACGCGGCCUCGGGAGAGCAUGAGGUCCAGAUUGAAGGGGUCCGGGGGGGCCUAGAGGCGGUCGAGCUGGACGAUGGGGCGGCCGUGCCCAAGGAGUUCGCCAAUCCCACCGACGGUGAGCGAGCCGGGCCACUCGGGCAUCAGAC
rnacentral:lncRNA from 1 species